rnacentral:rRNA from 1 species
UUCCGGUUGAUCCUGCCGGAGGCCACUGCUAUGGGGGUCCGACUAAGCCAUGCGAGUCAUGGGGCGCCUUGUGCGCACCGGCGGACGGCUCAGUAACACGUCGGUAACCUACCCUCGGGAGGGGGAUAACCCCGGGAAACUGGGGCUAAUCCCCCAUAGGCCUGAGGUACUGGAAGGUCCUCAGGCCGAAAGGGGCUCUGCCCGCCCGAGGAUGGGCCGGCGGCCGAUUAGGUAGUUGGUGGGGUAACGGCCCACCAAGCCGAAGAUCGGUACGGGCCAUGAGAGUGGGAGCCCGGAGAUGGACACUGAGACACGGGUCCAGGCCCUACGGGGCGCAGCAGGCGCGAAACCUCCGCAAUGCGGGCAACCGCGACGGGGAGACCCCCAGUGCCGUGGCAUCGCCACGGCUUUUCCGGAGUGUAAAGAGCUCCGGGAAUAAGGGCUGGGCAAGGCCGGUGGCAGCCGCCGCGGUAAUACCGGCGGCCCGAGUGGUGGCCGCUAUUAUUGGGCCUAAAGCGUCCGUAGCCGGGCCCGUAAGUCCCUGGCGAAAUCCCACGGCUCAACCGUGGGGCUUGCUGGGGAUACUGCGGGCCUUGGGACCGGGAGAGGCGGAGGGUACUCCUGGGGUAGGGGUGAAAUCCUAUAAUCCCAGGAGGACCGCCAGUGGCGAAGGCGCUCCGCUGGAACGGGUCCGACGGUGAGGGACGAAGGCCAGGGGAGCGAACCGGAUUAGAUACCCGGGUAGUCCUGGCUGUAAAGGAUGCGGGCUAGGUGUCGGGCGAGCUUCGUGCUCGCCCGGUGCCGAAGGGAAGCCGUUAAGCCCGCCGCCUGGGGAGUACGGCCGCAAGGCUGAAACUUAAAGGAAUUGGCGGGGGAGCACUACAAGGGGUGGAGCGUGCGGUUUAAUUGGAAUCAACGCCGGA